GUGAGGUCUAAAAAAAUCCUAAACUCACUUAUUUAUACUAAUAAAUAAACUUGUUCAUCAAGUAACAAUCUUUGUUAUCUAAAUCUUUUCUAAAUCUUCACAAAAUCGGGCCCACAUAAAGGAGUAAGCUGCUGAACAAUCAGGCAUUCGCGGGUCCCACAAGAAGUCUGAAUCUUCAAUUGAGGUAAACAUGAGAGUUGUAGCUCUUUAAGUCAGCUUCGCGGGCCUUCAAUCGGAUCCUAAUUCAGAGUUCUGUAGCCCAAGAUAUGAUCAUUUUUGCACAGACUAUGCCAGAUUCGCAGGAUUAGCGACAGCAACUUUGCAAGGCCAUUUUUACCAUGUUAGAGGCUUGUUCUUCAAUUGUUCUGAACAUGAAAGUUGUAGGGCUUCGAGUUAGCUUUCCAACGACAUAUUAUGGGCCUUAUUUCGAUAUUGCUAGCUCCAUAUUCAAUCUGUUCUAGCAAAACAGUCACAGAAACUAAAAGUGUAGAAUUAAGCUAUUUUCCAUGAAUAAUCCAAAUAAACACUAAUGGUCAAAAUAUGGCUAAGUUAUAACAAUUAAGCACAAAAAUGUAUAUAAUGAAGCUUAGAAAGACACACGUAAAGUGCAUCAAUUAUGCGCUUAUCAGACGUCAAGGUCGGGAAUCUCAGUUGCUCUCAUAUCGCCGAGAAAGGCGUUGGACAACAUGAAGUCGAUGAGGGAAGGUGGAGCAGACGCUUCGUCCUGGGGUGCGAUUUGUUCGCCGGUGAUAGCUUGGUUGGUUUCAGCACUGGGGGAGUAAAAGAUUGGCGACGGUUGGGAGUUUGCGCCUUCGUCCCGGGGGCUCACCGGUCGUGCGAAAGAUACUCCAGCUGGGUCCGCCUCGAUUGGGUCAGGGGAAAGAAUUGUUUGGGGAGAAUUUUCAGGACGAUCUUGACCAGCGGAAACCCCCUCUGGACAAGGUGGGAACUCAGCACCGCCCAAGGGCCUCGGCAUCUCUUCGCCCGACAGGUGUGGGGCGGACGCUUCAUCAGCUGAAGGGUUCUCGCCUUUCCUUUUCUCCUUCUUCUCCAAGUGUGGGGCGGACGGUUCUCCAGCCGGAGGAUUAUUGUAACACCUGUAUUCGAUUAAUUAAUAAUCGGGUAAAUUAUAAAUUUUAGUCAGGAGAAAUUAAUAUUAGAAUAGUAUUAAUUUUAAUAGUAUGUAAUUAAUUAAGAGGGUUUAGUUUUGUGAUGGUAAUAGUAUUAAUGGAAUUAUAAUAUAUUGAAAAUAGGGUUAAGGUGGAAAAAGGGUAGGAUGGAGAUUUAAAAAGGAAAAAAAAAGGGUUUGGGAAAAAAGGAAAGAAAGAAGGCCCGUGCGUGUGAGAGGUAGCAGGAGGAGAAGGAGAGAAAGAGUAGUGUGUGCGUGAAACCUCAGAAAGGGAGGGAGAACGGUUCCGUUUCAAAGAUUUUGAUCAGGGAACUCGGAGCUGCACUCAAUCCAAAGGUAACCAGGAGGAGUAGUCUAUAGCUUUUAGUUCGAGUUGGAGUCCUUGCUCUGAUACGUAGCACUCGGGGGGGAAAUGGACGCUUGUUUUCCUUUCUGUUAUAAUUUGAAUUAAGUUGUUAUUUGAGAAGUUGUUUCUGUUUUAAGUUGUGGGCAAGAUACUAUGUUUUCUUUAAGUUUUAAAGACAUUGGAUUCGCUGCAUAACUAUUUGUCAAAGUGAACUAGUUCAAUGACUAAUUAACUGUCACAAGAGCAUUAAAGUUUAUUUAUGAGUUCAUCUCAAAGUUUAUGUGC